AUUGAACGCUGGCGGCAUGCCUUACACAUGCAAGUCGAACGGUAACAGGCCGCAAGGUGCUGACGAGUGGCGAACGGGUGAGUAAUGCAUCGGAACGUGCCCAGUCGUGGGGGAUAACGCAGCGAAAGCUGUGCUAAUACCGCAUACGAUCUGUGGAUGAAAGCGGGGGACCGUAAGGCCUCGCGCGAUUGGAGCGGCCGAUGGCAGAUUAGGUAGUUGGUGGGGUAAAGGCUCACCAAGCCGACGAUCUGUAGCUGGUCUGAGAGGACGACCAGCCACACUGGGACUGAGACACGGCCCAGACUCCUACGGGAGGCAGCAGUGGGGAAUUUUGGACAAUGGGCGCAAGCCUGAUACAGCAAUGCCGCGUGCAGGAAGAAGGCCUUCGGGUUGUAAACUGCUUUUGUACGGAGCGAAAAGGCUCUCUCUAAUACAGGGGGUUCAUGACGGUACCGUAAGAAUAAGCACCGGCUAACUACGUGCCAGCCGCCGCAGUAAUAC
rnacentral:rRNA from 1 species